rnacentral:lncRNA from 1 species
GCAGAGGGCCACGCCAGCGUGCUUGGGGAACGUGAGGAGCGCGCGGCGCAGAGAAGGAAGAGGCGCGGGCAACGCGGCGUCAUGCGCGGUGGAGGCGGUUGGAGGAGCUAGGCGGCACGGGGAGCUGCAGCAGGCGAGCAGGGGAGAUGGAGGCGCUCGCGGGGGCUCGCGGGAGAGGGAGACAAGGAGGAAGCGCAUGGGGAGAGGAGGGCCGCACAGAGAGGGAGGCGCGCCGGUGGAGAGGGAGCUCGAGCGACGAGGGCGCCGGCCAUGGGAGAAGGCAGCGGUAGGAGAAGGAAGAAGAAGGGGAGAAAACGAGCGGCGGCGGCCAGGAAAAAAAUAGGAGGACAAGGAAAAAGAAAAAGAGAGGAAGGGGAUUAAAUAGGCUAGGGUUAGGCUUUGCUAGGUGGGCUUUUGGGCCAACAAAAAGCCUCAAACAAAAUACUGGUUUUGCAAUUUUUAAUUUUGAAAUAGAUAAGAGACUAGUGGCU